UUUUUAUUUUAUUUUAUCAAACAAAACUCAGGAAUAAACCUAACAGGAGGAUAAUUAAUAGCUACUCGCCCAAGCAUUUGUGGUCCAGUGGUAAGAGAAGAUUUGGGGAAGGGUAAAACUUCCAGACCCGAGUUCGAUCCUCUAUGGAAACAAAAAUCACAUUUGUUUGGGAAGUUUGUCAGUUGGGCCUUGGCCCAAUUAGUUUACCUGGUAGUCAGAAAUGCAUGCGGCCUGACUACUCUCUGGCAUUAGUCGGAAAGCAUUCCAAACUCGGGACAGACAGUGUGGUGGUCCUUCGUGGAGAAGUCCACUCUAAAGUACUUCGGUGCGUUUCUACCGAGGCUGACCAUUUCUAAAGGGUAGUUAAUAUUUUCUUAUACUCGUAAUAUGUACAUGUGAAUUUUCUUUUUAUUUGAUCUUUGUGAGAAGCAAAAAUCGUCCUACCAUUACUAAAUUUACAUU
rnacentral:sRNA from 1 species